rnacentral:rRNA from 1 species
CCUACGGGGUGCAGCAGUGGGGAAUAUUGGGCAAUGGACGCAACUCUGACCCAGCAACGCCGCGUGAAUGAUGAAGGUCUUCGGAUUGUAAAGCCCUUUUCUAAGGGAAGAAGAAAGUGACGGUACCUUAGGAAUAAGCCUCGGCUAACUACGUGCCAGCAGCCGCGGGAAUACGUAGGAGGCAAGCGUUAUCCGGAAUGACUGGGUGAAAAGGGUGCGUAGGGGGUUUGACAAGUUAGUAGCGCAACUCCGGAGCUUAACUGCGGAAGUAUUACUAAAACUGUUGGACUUGAGUGCAGGAGGGGCAAGCGGAAUUCCUGGUGUAGCGGUGGAAUGCGUAGAUAUUAGGAAGAACACCAGUGGCGAAGGCGGAUUGCUGGACUGUAACUGACGCUGAGGCACGAAAGCGUGGGGAGCGAACAGGAUUAGAUACCCUGGUAGUC